AGUGAACGCUGGCGGUAGGCCUAACACAUGCCAGUCGAACGGCAGCACAGUAAGAGCUUGCUCUUACGGGUGGCGAGUGGCGGACGUGUGAGGAAUACAUCGGAAUCUACUUUUUCGUGGGGGAUAACGUAGGGAAACUUACGCUAAUACCGCAUACGACCUACGGGUGAAAGCAGGGGAUCUUCGGACCUUGCGCGAUUGAAUGAGCCGAUGUCGGAUUAGCUAGUUGGCGGGGUAAAGGCCCACCAAGGCGACGAUCCGUAGCUGGUCUGAGAGGAUGGUCAGCCACACUGGAACUGAGACACGGUCCAGACUCCUACGGGAGGCAGCAGUGGGGAAUAUUGGACAAUGGGCGCAAGCAUGAUCCAGCCAUACCGCGUGGGUGAAGAAGGCCUUCGGGUUGUAAAGCCCUUUUGUUGGGAAAGAAAAGCAGCAGGUUAAUACCCCGCUGUUCUGACGGUACCCAAAGAAUAAGCACCGGCUAACUUCGUG
rnacentral:rRNA from 1 species